GCGAGGAUGGCGGAAUUGGCAGACGCGCCAGACUUAGGAUCUGGUCCGAUUCCGGGUGUGGGUUCAAGUCCCUCUCCUCGCACCA
rnacentral:tRNA from 1 species